UACGAAGGGGGCGAGCGUUGUUCGGAUUUACUGGGCGUAAAGGGCUCGUAGGCGGCCAACUAAGUCGGACGUGAAAUCCCUCAGCUUAACUGGGGAACUGCGUCCGAUACUGGAUGGCUUGGAUUUGGGAGAGGGAUGCGGAAUUCCAGGUGUAGCGGUGAAAUGCGUAGAUAUCUGGAGGAACACCGGUGGCGAAGGCGGCAUCCUGGACCAACAUUGACGCUGAGGAGCGAAAGCUAGGGGAGCAAACGGG
rnacentral:rRNA from 1 species